rnacentral:rRNA from 1 species
GACAGAGGUGGCGAGCGUUGUCCGGAAUUACUGGGCGUAAAGAGCGCGUAGGCGGCUAGAUAAGUCCGAUGUGAAAUUCCACGGCUUAACCGGGGAACGGCAUUGGAGACUGUAUAGCUCGAGGACGGGAGAGGAGAGCGGAAUUCCCGGUGUAGCGGUGAAAUGCGUAGAGAUCGGGAGGAAGGCCGGUGGCGAAGGCGGCGCACUGGACCACAUCUGACGCUGAGGCGCGAAAGCUAGGGGAGCAAACAGG